GUUCCCUCCGAAGUUUCCCU
rnacentral:snRNA from 1 species